rnacentral:rRNA from 1 species
CUACUGGGGUUUCUAAUCCUGUUUGCUCCCCUAGCUUUCGCUCCUCAGCGUCAGUUAUGGCCCAGAAGGCCGCCUUCGCCACUGGUGUUCUUCCUAAUAUCUGCGCAUUCCACCGCUACACUAGGAAUUCCACCUUCCCCUACCAAACUCAAGUCUGCCGGUAUCGGGAGCGGACGGAGGUUGAGCCUCCGGAUUUAACUCCCGACCUAACAGACCGCCUACGAGCGCUUUACGCCCAAUGAAUCCGGAUAACGCUUGCCCCCUACGUAUUACCGCGGCUGCUGGCAC